UCUAAAUUCUUCUAUUCUAUUGAUGGACAUCUAUAUUCAUUGCGCAUCACAAGACAUGGGCGAUAACGAUUAUAUUACAAGCUGACCCGGUUGUGUUCAACAGUAUGAAUUGAAUCGAAAGAAAGAGUGAGGAACAAUACGAGUUGUAGGGAAAUAAUAAAUUACUUCAUGUUACAAAGUCAAAUGCCCUUAUGCAUUAUCAGUAACACACAAAGCGUUGGACGUGAUAUCUUACCACAAUGUAUAUAGUCUCAGACCACUAGUUAGAAGUCACUGCCCCCCUCCCCAUACUGUUCUACAACAGGAUAUACUUGUGAUGCAAAGAUUAUUUUCUCCCGUCCUGGUUAAGCCACAUCAGCCCAGUAUACAACACAAGCCUGGCUGCUGACCGGGAAUGCACGUUAGGAUCCCGCCAGGCACGCAGGUGUAAAGGUGACUGUCCGCCGACGACCUCACCUGUCCAGGCACCUUUCUGUCGUAAACCACACCGUACAAAAUCCUUCAGUAACUUUUCGUUGCUCAGCUGUGUGUCCACAAGGUUGCCCGGUUGGUUCUUUGCCCUGUGUGUCCUCUGUGUUCCCGCCCUAGGCGCGGCGCGUGAGUCCAUGGGCCGACCCGGGGGAUUACUGUCACAUCCACGCACAGAGAGAACGUCGGGAGACCGGGCUAGAUCCCUCGCGUGACAGCUCGCAAUUUGCGCUGUUAAAAUAUCAUUCAAAUAUUCUCGCUGACUGGCGCUGACGCUACCUAUAUAUAAUGGGUCGUACCCGCCUGGAGCGAUUUCCAUAAUACGUCGGUAGUGAGUGGCAGUGAGGGGAAACACCGUGCAGGACGCUGGGAGCCAGGCCCGUGGCACCGUCGCCGGCGUCGUGCGGAACCCCCCGGCCUCAUCCCGGCACCGAGUAUUAAAGCGGUAGGUAAAUUGACGAAAUGGGUCCAAUUACGCAUGGCAGGUUGGACGGGCAGGGAUUACUCGUGCCGCCGCCGGGUUGUGCAACAGCCGGCCAGCGCGGCGCACAUGCCUGCCGCCUAGUGCGCCCGCCGCCAGGGGAAGGGUCGAUCCACGGUUGCCUAGGCAGCCAAACACACGGAGCGGACACUGACUCCGUACGUUCCGCACGGCCCUGUCUCACGGCGGGCCAGGAGUCUGUAUUGAUCCUCUCCCUGUGACAUCUUCUCCCCCGGAACGUCUACAUUACAGGCCCGCUCUGCGCUCUAUCGCCGCGUUGAUAUAGGCAACCGAUAUUCAGCUAUUUCCGGAGGGAAUCGGCACGGCGAUUGCCUUGGUAGUUCUCUCUCCUCGCGUGUGGGGUCCUGUCCCGGUGUAACAUGCACGUCUGUCGAUCGUUUUCCCGCUCGGACAUGAUGUUUGUUUGUAUUUGCAGGUGGGGAUGGCCCGUCCCUGUCACCUCCCUUUCCACGUCAUCGGUCGUCAAAUCAGCUGGGCCGGUCCCGACACACACAGCUAGCACCGGGGUAACCGGUCAACCUACCCAUCCAACCGGUGCAGAUGACACUUCACGGCAGACGGUAGACAACGGCUCGCCCCCCUCCCCACCUCAGCAGGAUUAAAGAUGCCACAGCUGACUGAUGAUGCCCAACAGAGGUCCACCUCAUCGCUCCCCCACUCUCCUCCGUUCGCUCUCAACCCAGAGGUCGGUUCGUUCCCGCGCAAGCCGAGCGUGCGACUCUCGGAAUGGCGUUCUUAACAGGAGGACGGUUACAUCACUUGCGUCAAGGACUUGCUUGGAGACGUACCGCGGGUGAGACGUCCUGAGCUUCGCACCUGCAGGAUAGGGCGCGUGUUGGGGAGUGAAGGGCGCGCAGAGGACAGGGCGGAGGAGGAGAGGACGCAGACGGGCGCCGAGCGGGUCUACAGUUUCCCAUAGAGACAACUGUCGUCUGAUCGGCCAGAGUCCGGUUUCCCGCCACUUUUUAAUGGAAACUCCGGUG